rfam:Oryza nivara chromosome 7, whole genome shotgun sequence.
UUUAAGCGCAACUAUAAGUUUCAGUGUCUAAUUAUGAUCGUCCGUCUUAUUUAAAUAUUUUUAUGAUUAAUUAUUUUAUUAUUAUUAGAUGAUAAAAUAUGAGUAGUACUUUUAUGCAUGACUUAUAUUUUUUAUUUUUUUAAAAAUAAAUAAAUAAGACAAACCAUUAAAACUGAAAACGAAAACUCAUAACUACGUUUAAA